CUAUUAAAAUUAAUCAGGAAACCUCACUUUAAAUAUGGAACCUAAGUUGAAGACUGAAACUGAUGGACCAAUGGACAAAACUGUCGAGAAUAAUACAGACGACCACAAUGGGGAGAGCCAUCAACUUCGUAAUUUGCAACUUGUUGCAAAGGGAGAGGAGUCACAUGCAACACAUUCUUUUAAGUGGGGCUCAACUGGCAAGACAUCCACAUCUGUUACCUGCAACAAAGCAGGAACUGUUGAGGACUCGCUGAAAAGAAGUUCGCAGUUUAGAGAAUUAGCAAAAAAGAACAAUGACAAAGAGCUUGUUGUUGUUGCAGAUGGUAGAGCUAUCAGUUCACACUGUCCAUGCAGCUUAAUUAAAGAUAAAUGUUUAACUGUCAGUUAUGUUAAAACUAA